rnacentral:misc_RNA from 1 species
AUCAGUCGAGGUAAGUUGCUAAAGGGAAAAUGGGUAAGUUAGUUUAAGGAUGUCUUGUUACAGGAGAUAUAUUAAACAUGAACAGUUUUCGCGGUUUUUAACCUCCACGCAUAUGAGCGCCCAGCUCUCCAAACUGAUCGUCUGCUUCAACGGUGUCAUCUGAAAGGCGUACUGCAUCCAACUUCUGCUUAAGCACUUCUAUUGCAUUGAGCACCAAUUGUGAAGCUUUGACUGCGCCAGUUGUUUCAACUGUGAAAAUAAAACUAUCUUCCUUGGCAUGUAUCUCUACAACUCCAGGUUUUCCCAUGGCUUCAGCCUUCUUGAGCACCUCAUCAUCGUAAGUAUAUGCCUCAGGAUCAACGACAAUAACCUGUUUGUUCUCGGGGUCAAUGCCAAAGACUUUUGUGGGACUACUCUCAACUAAUUCUGUUUUCUCCUCGAGAGUCAAGGAUUCCAUCAUGUCCUCAUUGAUAUAGAUCUCUGGUUCAUACAUGAAAGUCACAGUUGCUGCAGGUGACCAUUUCGCGUGAUCUUUGCCAAUUCCUUUCCGUGCUAUAGCUCUUAACCUUAACUCCUGUCCACGUCGUAGCUUCACAAUUAUGAUUCCCUUAUUAGGAGUAUUAUCAAAACUCGAGGAAGCAUCGGAGUAAUCAACAGGAACAACCGUAUGGUCAGAACUCAACAAAUCCUUGCUAGUAACAUCAAGCGUCUGGUCACUAAGACAUUUCACCCGUAGAUAAAACUCAACCGAACAGUACUCACAUUGUCCAUCACCAUCACAAGCAUCACAGUCACGUGAGAAACGCAUACUCAUCGCUCGUUCACUUGUUAGCGGCACAAGCCCUAAACGAUGAGAAAUGAACUCAUCGUUGAGAACAGAGGAAUUGACCUCGAUUUCAACUAGGUCUAUAGCUAUAGUAGGUACUUCAGCUAUCAUUAUACGCCGGAGAGCGUUAGCUAUACUGGCGUCGGUGUCCCGGAGCUCGAAUUUCAUGAAAUCGUCUUUAACUUCACGUACUUUUAUCUUUGGGAAUCUCUGGUACGAAACGCCCUCCAUUGUUGCUUGCUUUGAGUAUUGAGGGUUUUGCUCUCUGCUCUGCUAAAAGUGAAAUUUGUAACAAGUACUCA